rnacentral:rRNA from 1 species
AGAGUUUGAUCAUGGCUCAAAUUGAACGCUGGCGGCAUGCCUUACACAUGCAAGUCGAACGGCAGCACGGGUGCUUGCACCUGGUGGCGAGUGGCGAACGGGUGAGUAAUACAUCGGAACGUACCUUAUCGUGGGGGAUAACGCAUCGAAAGCUGUGCUAAUACCGCAUACGCCCUGAGGGGGAAAGCGGGGGAUCGCAGGACCUCGCGCGAUUGGAGCGGCCGAUGUCAAAUUAGGUAGUUGGUGAGGUAAAGGCUCACCAAGCCGACGAUCUGUACCUGGUCUGAGAGGACGACCAGCCACACUGGGACUGAGACACGGCCCAAACUCCUACGGGAGGCAGCAGUGGGGAAUUUUGGACAAUGGGCGCAAGCCUGAUCCAGCCAUUCCGCGUGCAGGACGAAGGCCUUCGGGUUGUAAACUGCUUUUGUACGGAGCGAAAAGCCUUGAGUUAAUACCUCGAGGUCAUGACGGUACCGUAAGAAUAAGCACCGGCUAACUACGUGCCAGCAGCCGCGGUAAU